AAUCAUACUUAUGGUUUAAGAACUUGGUACUUUAUUUUGGUAGGAGCUGCCCUGUGGUACUGAGCCUGGGUCCUACAUUGUUCUGAUGUCACUCCUCCAGCUCGUGUUUUGUCUGUUAGUGGUAUCAUCUGGCAUUAUAUAGAGGCUUAGAAUGAAUAUACAUCUACGUAACUGAAAUGACAAAAUAAACUCUUGAAGGAACAGGUCUGUGAAACAGUUCACUAGCUUCACUUUCUGUGGAGAAACAAGGCAAACAUUUGGAAUAUCUGAGGAUACAUAAGGGACAACAGGCCAUGUGCUCAGAGAGUUUCAGAAGCUUCCGGGUCUGACGUUGCUAUGGCCUUUGUUUUUCUUCCUGGGCUGACUUGUGGGUCUGAGUCUGCAAGGCAGCUUCUCCAGGCAAAGACCAGGUGUCCUUGGCCUUGUGUCUUCACUAGAUUCUUAUUCAAGGGCUAGAGGGUAGCGUGUUGUCAGGAAAAUUGCUCAGACCCUAGGCCCAUACUUUUCUGGAAAGAUGCUGAAAUAUGGCAUGGUAACCAAUACUACAAAAAUUGGCCCUUGGAAUUCCCUUCUAGGCUAGCGAGAAUGCAGGGAGGGCUGGGGGAUGAACAGCCCGCAGAAGAACGAGAAGGGUCUGAGGAAGAGAGGGAGGGGGAGGGGAAAGAGGUGGCCAGAGGGCCUUUCCCACGCUUUUCCUUCUGCCUGAAGCAUCCCCUGACUCUUCUCCUCUUUCCCUCAGCUCUCCAAGGGUCUCCCUACCUCUCUGACUGGAUCAGACCCUUUCACACUUGUGUCCCUCCUGGACUCUUGGCUCCAUGGUCAGCUCAUUUGGCUCAUUGCUGCUUCUCUGGCAUCUACAGUGUCCUGGAGUUUUACCAAGUGAAUGACAUCACCUGCUUUAUUAUUACAUUGCAGGGGAAAGGGCAGGGCAAAAGAUGGAUUGUAAGAUAAGAGGACAUGGGAAAAGGCUAGAAAACUGUGGAUUAGAACCCUUCUAAACUCUUAGGAACCCAGCUGGGGCAUGGUAGGGUACUUCUAUCUGGGAGCUGUUCAUUUACUGAAGUUUUUUUUUUUUUUUUUUUAAGUUUAUUUAUUUGAGAGAGAGAAAGGGAGAGAGAGAGAGAGAGGGAGAGAGAAUGUGAGUGGGGGAGGGGCAAAGAGGAAGGGAGAGAGAGAAUCCCAAGCAGAUUCAGUGCUGUCAGUGCAGAGCCUGAUGUUGGACUCGAUCCCGUGAACUGUGAGAUCAUGACCUGAGCUGAAAUCAAGAGUCAGAUGCUCAACCGACUGAGCCACCCAGGCGCCUGAAGUUCUGUUUUUUAAAUCUGAUGUUACCUCUGUAUCAUUUACCUACAUUGUAGUUGGGGAUGUACUCCAUUAUUCCUAAGAAUACCAUAGAUAGUGAUAGUCAUACCCCAUUUCUGGAAGAAUUUUUAGCUGGGCAUGUGGCUAUCCAAAAUAAAUUUCCCAGCCUUCUUUGAAGAUAAGUGCAUGUGCCCAAUGGCCCUGCGAUCCUAAGUAGAAAUAUCGUGUCCAGCUUCCAGGUUGUAACCUUAAAAGGAGAGGGGCGUGUCUUCCAGCUCCUCUCUUCCCCGUUCCCUCUGGCUGAAAUGUGAAAUUCUUUGGGAGCUAUCCUGGGCCAUAUGGAUGAGGCUGCAGGCCGGGGCUGGCAGAGCCAUGAGGCAGAUGUGGCCUGGGCCUGGCACCAAACACUGGACAGCUUCACUUGGACUGCCGACGUCAGAGAGAAGUUUCCCUCUGGGACUAGUUACAGACUCUGAAUCCAUCCCCUAAUUCCGACACCCAGCUCUGAGCAGUCAGAAAUGAAAGGGCUGGAAGCAUCAUCCUGGGGUCAGUGGCCUGGUGGUAAAAAAUGUUAUUGAGUCACCUCAUUUGUAGAACAAAUGACAGUACUUUGGCUGUCACAGUGAGUGAUUCCUGUUUAGUAAAUGGGAACAGUUCAAGAAGUGCUCUUUCCUCAUCACCAUCCGAGUCCUCAUUUCCGUACUUCAAGUAGAGGCAGGGAUCAAAAGCUCUGGACUUGGUGCCAGACAACCUUGAGUUUGAAACUUCAGCCCCGUCACUGACUACUGUCCCCAUACCUAUGUCAUAAGGCCAUUAUGAAGAUGUAGUGAGAUAAGAUGCACAGAACAUGGCCAGAGGAAGCACCAAAUCAGAGUCCUACACUAUUGUUUGUGUGUAGGACUUUUUCCCUAGCAACCGACAGAAACCUAAUUGAAGCUGGCUUUCACAUUUUGUGAUCUCUAAGCAGCAUCCUGGGCAUUAUUGGGCUUUGCAGCUCGUUAAGAGAAGCCACCACCAAAUCGUGUUCCUGCAGCAUUUCCGGGUAGCGGGACACCGCUCGCUCAAUCCUCGCCGACCGGCGCACGGGAGUGAUCAGCUUCAUGUCGUGCACUUCUGCUAUUCCACUUAUCCUGUGAGACAGAAAGAGCUGGGGAGGUUGCCCCUGCUUGGCACUCGGCGUCCCCUCCCUGUGGGGCUGGGAGGAAAGGGACGUUGGAUCUGUAAGCGCAGGACAGAUGAGGGUGAAGAGAGAAAGACAAGACUUUUCAGAUUCCGUUUUAUUGGCCAGCUCUUCUAUUGACGUUAUAUUCGUCUCGACAACUGAAGAGUCAGAGGUAACUCCUGUGUAUGCAAGGUCAACAAGGAAAGUGAGGUUUAGAAAGUUAAUACUGAAACUAAAAGUCAAUAAAAUGACAAAUCAAUAUAUACAAUGAUUUCUCAAUUAAAAUAAAGAGGAACUGAUUUGAAAUGGGACAUAGAACUAGUUUUUCCUGCUCAGCUCUCUAGCAAUGCCCUGCUACAUCAGGCCAUCUUUCUAACCUGCCCUCCAGGCAGUCUUUGGACCUUCUUGCCACUUGAGAUGGAUCCUUGAUACCUUUUCAACAUUCUGAACACAUA